GACAGAGGUGCCGAGCGUUAGGCGGAAUCACUGGGCUUAAAGCGUGUGUAGGCGGGUCGUUAAGUACCUUGUGAAAUCCCCCGGCUCAACCGGGGAACGGCUGGGUAUACUGGCGAUCUUGAGCCACCUAGGGGCAGUCGGAACAAGUGGUGGAGCGGUGAAAUGCGUAGAUAUCACUUGGAACGCCAAUGGUGAAAACAGACUGCUGGGGGUGUGCCGACGCUGAGACACGAAAGCCAGGGGAGCAAACGGG
rnacentral:rRNA from 1 species